rnacentral:rRNA from 1 species
UUAGAGUUUGAUCCUGGCUCAGGAUGAACGCUAGCGGCAGGCUUAACACAUGCAAGUCGAGGGGUAACGGGGAAGCUUGCUUCCGCCGACGACCGGCGCACGGGUGCGUAACGCGUAUACAAUCUACCUUGUACUGGGGUAUAGCCUUUAGAAAUGAAGAUUAAUCCCCCAUAGUCUCUUAGAGUGGCAUCACUUCUAGAGUAAAGGUUACGGUAUAAGAUGAGUAUGCGUUCUAUUAGUUUGUUGGUGUGGUAACGGCACACCAAGACUACGAUAGAUAGGGGCCCUGAGAGGGGGAUCCCCCACACUGGUACUGAGACACGGACCAGACUCCUACGGGAGGCAGCAGUGAGGAAUAUUGGACAAUGGAGGCAACUCUGAUCCAGCCAUGCCGCGUGCAGGAAGACUGCCCUAUGGGUUGUAAACUGCUUUUAUACAGGAAGAAACACCUCUACGUGUAGAGGCUUGACGGUACUGUAAGAAUAAGGAUCGGCUAACUCCGUGCCAGCAGCCGCGGUAAUACGGAGGAUCCAAGCGUUAUCCGGAAUCAUUGGGUUUAAAGGGUCCGUAGGUGGAUAAUUAAGUCAGAGGUGAAAUCUUGCAGCUCAACUGUAAAAUUGCCUUUGAAACUGGUUAUCUUGAGUUAUUAUGAAGUAGUUAGAAUAUGUAGUGUAGCGGUGAAAUGCAUAGAUAUUACAUAGAAUACCAAUUGCGAAGGCAGAUUACUAAUAAUCAACUGACACUGAUGGACGAAAGCGUGGGUAGCGAACAGGAUUAGAUACCCUGGUAGUCCACGCCGUAAACGAUGGUUACUAGCUGUUUGGACUUCGGUCUGAGUGGCUAAGCGAAAGUGAUAAGUAACCCACCUGGGGGGUACGUUCGCAAGAAUGAAACUCAAAGGAAUUGACGGGGGCCCGCACAAGCGGUGGAGCAUGUGGUUUAAUUCGAUGAUACGCGAGGAACCUUACCAGGGCUUAAAUGUAAGUUGCAUUAGUUAGAGAUAGCUAUUUCUUCGGACCACUUACAAGGUGCUGCAUGGUUGUCGUCAGCUCGUGCCGUGAGGUGUCAGGUUAAGUCCUAUAACGAGCGCAACCCCUGUUGUUAGUUGCCAGCGAGUCAUGUCGGGAACUCUAACAAGACUGCCAGUGCAAACUGUGAGGAAGGUGGGGAUGACGUCAAAUCAUCACGGCCCUUACGUCCUGGGCUACACACGUGCUACAAUGGUAGGUACAGAGAGCAGCCACUGCGCGAGCAGGAGCGAAUCUAUAAAACCUAUCACAGUUCGGAUCGGAGUCUGCAACUCGACUCCGUGAAGCUGGAAUCGCUAGUAAUCGGAUAUCAGCCAUGAUCCGGUGAAUACGUUCCCGGGCCUUGUACACACCGCCCGUCAAGCCAUGGAAGUUGGAAGUGCCUGAAGUCCGUCACCGCAAGGAGCGGCCUAGGGUAAAGUCGAUAACUAGGGCUAAGUCGUAACAAGG